ensembl:lncRNA
GUGACCCCAAUUCCCGUCAGUGUCCCCACAGUACUGUGACCCCAAUUCCCGUCGGUGUCCCCGCAGCGCUGUGACCCCAAUUCCCAUCAGUGACCCCAAUUCCCGUCAGUGUCCCCACAGCGCUGUGACCCCAAUUCCCCACUGUGACCCCAAUUCCCGUCAGUGUCCCCAUAGCACUGUGACCCCAAACUCUGGUGGUGUCCCCACAUUGCUGUGUCCCCAUCUCCCCACCGUGUGGCACUGUGUCUCUGUCACUCAGCUCUGGCAGUGUCCCCUCUGUGUCCCUCUGGCACUGCGUCCCUCCCACCCCAAAAUCUGACAGUGUCCCCAUGUGUCCCCGUGAUCCCAAACUCUCAGUGUCCCCUCUGUGUCCCCUCCAUUCCUCAUGACCCCGUGUCCCUGUCACCCACACCGGCAGUGUCCCCAUGGCUCUGUGUCCCCAUCACCCCAAACUGUCAGUGUCCCCUCUGUAUCCCUAUGACCCCAAACCCUCUCAGUGUCCCCUCUGUGUCCCCAUCACCCCAAACUCUCGGUGUCCCCUCUGUGUCCCUAUGACCCCAAACCCUCUCAGUGUCCCCUCUGUGUCCCCAUCACCCCAAACUCUCAGUGUCCCCUUUGUGUCCCUAUGACCCCAAACCCCCUCAGUGUCCCCUUUGUGUCCCUAUGACCCCAAACCCUCUCUGUGUCCCCAUCACCCCAAACCCUCUCAAUGUCCCCAUGGCUCUGUGUCCCCAUCACCCCAAACUCUCGGUGUCCUCUCUGUGUCCCUAUGACCCCAAACCCUCUUAGUGUCCCCUUUGUGUCCCCAUCACCCCAAACUCAGUGUCCCCUCUGUGUCCCUAUGACCCCAAGCUCUGACAGUGUCCUCUUUGUGUCACCGUGUCCCCAUCACCCCAAUCUCUGGCAGUGUCCCCUUUGUGUCCCCAUCACCCCAAACCCUCUCGGUGUCCCCUCUAUGUCCCUAUGACCCCAAACCCUCUCGGUGUCCCCUUUGUGUCCCCAUCACCCCAAACCCUCUCAGUGUCCCCUUUGUGUCCCCAUCACCCCAAACCCUCUCGGUGUCCCCUCUGUGUCCCCAUGGCUCUGUGUCCCCAUCACCCCAAUCUCUGGCAGUGUCCCCUUUGUGUCCCCAUCACCCCAAACCCCCUCAGUGUCCCCUUUGUGUCCCUAUGACCCCAAACCCUCUCUGUGUCCCCAUCACCCCAAACCCUCUCAGUGUCCCCAUGGCUCUGUGUCCCCAUCACCCCAAACUCUCGGUGUCCUCUCUGUGUCCCUAUGACCCCAAACCCUCUCAGUGUCCCCUCUGUGUCCCCAUGGCUCUGUGUCCCCAUCACCCCAAUCUCUGGCAGUGUCCCCUUUAUGUCCCCAUCACCCCAAACCCUCUCAGUGUCCCCAUGGCGCUGUGUCCCCAUCACCCCAAACUCUCGGUGUCCCCUCUGUGUCCCCAUCCCCCCAAACCCUCUCAGUGUCCCCAUGGCUCUGUGUCCCCGUCACCCCAAUCUCUGGCAGUGUCCCCUUUGUGUCCUCAUCACCCCAAACCCCCUCAGUGUCCCCUUUGUGUCCCUAUGACCCCAAACCUUCUCUGUGUCCCCCUCUGUGUCCCCAUCACCCCAAACCCUCUCAGUGUCCCCUCUGUGUCCCCAUGGCUCUGUGUCCCCAUCACCCCAAUCUCUGGCAGUGUCCCCUUUGUGUCCCCAUCACCCCAAACCCUCUCAGUGUCCCCAUGGCGCUGUGUCCCCCCAUCACCCCAAACUCUCGGUGUCCCCUCUGUGUCCCUAUGACCCCAAACCCUCUCAGUGUCCCCUCUGUGUCCCCAUCACCCCAAACUCUCAGUGUCCCCUUUGUGUCCCUAUGACCCCAAACCCCCUCAGUGUCCCCUUUGUGUCCCUAUGACCCCAAACCCUCUCUGUGUCCCCAUCACCCCAAACCCUCUCAGUGUCCCCAUGGCUCUGUGUCCCCAUCACCCCAAACUCUCGGUGUCCUCUCUGUGUCCCUAUGACCCCAAACCCUCUUAGUGUCCCCUUUGUGUCCCCAUCACCCCAAACUCAGUGUCCCCUCUGUGUCCCUAUGACCCCAAACCCUCUCAGUGUCCCCUCUGUGUCCCCAUCACCCCAAACUCAGUGUCCCCUCUGUGUCCCUAUGACCCCAAGCUCUGACAGUGUCCUCUUUGUGUCACCGUGUCCCCAUCACCCCAAUCUCUGGCAGUGUCCCCUUUGUGUCCCCAUCACCCCAAACCCUCUCGGUGUCCCCUCUAUGUCCCUAUGACCCCAAACCCUCUCGGUGUCCCCUUUGUGUCCCCAUCACCCCAAACCCUCUCAGUGUCCCCUUUGUGUCCCCAUCACCCCAAACCCUCUCGGUGUCCCCUCUGUGUCCCCAUGGCUCUGUGUCCCCAUCACCCCAAUCUCUGGCAGUGUCCCCUUUGUGUCCCCAUCACCCCAAACCCCCUCAGUGUCCCCUUUGUGUCCCUAUGACCCCAAACCCUCUCUGUGUCCCCAUCACCCCAAACUCUCGGUGUCCUCUCUGUGUCCCUAUGACCCCAAACCCUCUCAGUGUCCCCUCUGUGUCCCCAUGGCUCUGUGUCCCCAUCACCCCAAUCUCUGGCAGUGUCCCCUUUG